rnacentral:rRNA from 1 species
AAUUUUGGACAAUGGGGGAAACCCUGAUCCAGCAAUGCCGCGUGCAGGAUGAAGGCCUUCGGGUUGUAAACUGCUUUUGUACGGAACGAAAAGGCUUGUGUUAAUACCCCGGGACCAGGACGUGACCGUAAGAAUAAGCACCGUCUAACGACGUGCGAGAAGCCGCGGUAAUACGUAGGGUGCAAGCGUUAAUCGGAAUUACUGGGCGUAAAGCGUGCGCAGGCGGUUUUGUAAGACAGUGGUGAAAUCCCCGGGCUCAACCUGGGAACUGCAAUUGUGACUGCAAGGCUGGAGUGCAGCAGAGGGGGAUGGAAUUCCGCGUGUAGCAGUGAAAUGCGUAGAUAUGCGGAGGAACACCGAUAGCGAAGGCGAUCCUCUGGGCCUGCACUGACGCUCAUGCACGAAAGCGUGGGGAGCAAACAGG